ACAUAAGGGUGUGUGUGCAUUCGUGGAGAUGGCCAGGAGAAACUCUCAUGGAGCUCAAACCCUAGCUUGCUCAAGAUCAUCAAAUUAAAGCUCGAUUCAAGCCCUAAAUCAAUGCAUGAACACAUAAAAAUGAUCACCUAGUCAUGGGGAUUAUAAGUUUGAUGCUUAACAAGCUAGAUGGAAGCUUGGGAAGGAAGCGAGUCAAACGGAUUGAGCACGGGGAAGAGAAUAACCGGAUGCAAGGAAUGUCUUAUGGAACUCCGGAUGAGGAUCAAGCAAGAAAGGAGAACCGAACACAUGUCUCGAAGCUUCCGCAACGAUCUUAUUUUGUUCUAGUUUAAAAAGUGAUAUUGUAAACACUUGAAAUUAUAUUUUGGAAUGCUUUAAAUUAUGUAAGAAGAUUAACUUGGAAAAAGUUUUUGUAAGCUUGCAUUUUUGUAUAAAAU